GAUGAACGCUGGCGGCGUGCCUAAUACAUGCAAGUAGAACGCUGAAGGAGGAGCUUGCUCUUCUGGAUGAGUUGCGAACGGGUGAGUAACGCGUAGGUAACCUGCCUGGUAGCGGGGGAUAACUAUUGGAAACGAUAGCUAAUACCGCAUGACAACAGUUAUUGCAUGAUAACUGUUUAAAAGGGGCAACUGCUCCACUACCAGAUGGACCUGCGUUGUAUUAGCUAGUUGGUGAGGUAACGGCUCACCAAGGCGACGAUACAUAGCCGACCUGAGAGGGUGAUCGGCCACACUGGGACUGAGACACGGCCCAGACGCCUACGGGAGGCAGCAGUAGGGAAUCUUCGGCAAGGGACGGAAGUCUGACCGAGCAACGCCGCGUGAGUGAAGAAGGUUUUCGGAUCGUAAAGCUAUGUUGUAAGAGAAGAACGAGUGUGAGAGUGGAAAGUUCACACGGGGACGGUAUCUUACCAGAAAGGGACGGCUAACUACGUGC
rnacentral:rRNA from 1 species